rnacentral:lncRNA from 1 species
CCAUCGAACGAUGCUAACUACUCACUGCCUCCACCGCGGGAGGAGUGUAAGAGGUGGGCCGAUCAUCCAACCAGAGGGGGAUGCAGAGAAAGAGGUGCUCUCAUGCCCAACAGUCAGGCGACCUAAAAUAGGAGCCUGACCCAGCCAGGAAGCCGGUGGAACAGUAGUAGCAGUGGGCAAAGGCUACAUCCAAAUUGCUGCAAUAGGCCAAGCCGCCUCCCCAUAGCAAAGACAGCAAGCCCCAUUGGG